rnacentral:rRNA from 1 species
GAUGAACGCUGGCGGCGUGCUUAACACAUGCAAGUCGAACGGGAUCCCAGGGUUGCUUGCACUUUUUGGUGAGAGUGGCGAACGGGUGAGUAACACGUGAGUAACCUGUCCUUUUCUUUGGGAUAAGCAUUCGAAAGGGUGUUUAAUACCUUAUGUUCUGUCUGCCUCGCAUGGGGUGGGUGGGAAAGGCUUUGGCCGGAUUUGGGUGGGCUCGCGGUCUAUCAGCUUGUUGGUGGGGUGAUGGCUUACCAAGGCUUUGACGGGUAGCCGGCCUGAGAGGGUGGUCGGUCACAUUGGGACUGAGAUACGGCCAAGACUCCUGCGGGAGGCAGCAGUGAGGGAUAUUGCGCAAUGGGCGAAAGCCGGAUGCAGCGACGCCGCGUGGGGGAUGAAGGCCUGCGGGUUGUAAACUUCUUUUGCUCUGAACAAGGCAUGCCAGUGGGUGUGUUGAGUGUAGGGGUGGAUUAGCGCCGGCUAACUAAGUG